CAGAGGUGUGGAGGCACAAGACAAGCCUGGAAUGUCUUGUGCUGGAAAAUGCAGAACCUGAAUUCAAUCGUGAGGAAGCAUCGCACAAUCUCAAACUGGGGAACAUCCUAAAAACACUGGCCUGUAGAUCUUCCAGUGUGUCAAGACCAUGAAAGUCAAGGAAAGUCUGAGUCGGCCAGCGUGAAGGGAACCAGUCACGACAACCAAAUGCAACGUGUCAUUCUGAACGAAAUCCUCAUGCUACAGAUGAUGUCGCUGAGACAAUUGACAAAACAUGAAAAGGAUCUGGGCAUUAGUUAGGGCGUCACAGAGGAGAUUCAGGUGAGACACGGACGGUGAAAAGGAGGCAAGAACCAUUCUGAAGCCCAGCCAUCGCUUCCUGUGCUGCCCCGGGGCUGAUGUCUUUGAUCUUAUUAGAAGUUGAAUAAGGAAAUAGCUGAAGUGAGCAGGGAAUGGAGGCAAAAUAACGACAAAGGCUGCAGAGAUGUUUCAAUCACAACCACGAUUACAAGUCUGAACUGCCUUUAGUGGAUGGAACUGGAUUGGCUGAGUGCCUGUUCGUCCAAACUGCACCAUUUUGUAAGCUCCCAGCUAUUUUGCACACCUUGGUCAAAGUGAAACAUUUCACGGGGGUUCGGGCCACGAGAGACGUCCUGCCUAACCACUUGACUGCAAGGCAGACAAAGGCCCAACUAAAGAAACAUCCCUAUCGUAUCUUGCUGGACAAAGGUCCAAGGAACAUUACGACGACAUUCUGCCAGAACAAGGGCCAGGACCUCCUCAUCACGGGAACACUUUAAUAUCCUGCCGGGCAGAGAGCCAAACUGCCCAGACCCCUCCCGCCCAUACCUGUAAGUACCCCCAGCCUGUAAGUAGCGGGGAGCUCUGACAUUAGGCCGGUUCCCCACUUCUGUAGAUUUUAGGCUGUACAUAAAGCCUGUAUUUGCUGUCGAACUGCACUCUUUCUGUGGGUGUGUCUUUCUUUAACCCUUGCCUUCCCUUCAAAACCUAACAGAGCCUAUGUUUGCUAAUGGGAAGGCCCCCCAGUGGCCACCCUUUAGUUGAUUGCCUUUGUCGCUUUUUUGGCCGAUUCUCCUUUCCUGAAGGUCCCAGACCCCAGGAGUUAGGUUGGAAGGUACAAGUUCUGGGAGAACAGAAGUUGUGACUUAGCAAGGCUUCCCCUACCUGACUUGCCAAAAGAAGAGAUCCUCUCUCCCCUUCCUGGGAGAAUAAUCCAAAGAACUCCCAAGACACUUCAGACAGGAACAUGCCACCCUGUUGCAGACAGUUCCCAGCCUCUAGCUGUGGAUUCAUGUGUGUCCCAGCUUUCCUACCUAUUGAAUACAUGAUGGCCCCUUGACGAAUUGUUGGGAAAUGAGGCCCGGAAGAGUCUGUUUCAACAGAACCUGCAGCAAGAGCAUCAAAGGAAGGGAGCCGGCCGGGAGUGGGACUGGCACCCAGAGCUCAGGGUGCUGCAGGGACAGCCGCAUUGGCACGUUCUUCUCGUGGCCGAGGCACCAAGCCCAGCGCCGACUGUUAGAGAGGCUGAGAUUUCAGAACUGGGAUCUAGGGGGUCAUGGAGCCUACCACCUCCUCUCUAGGUGGUGACCUCAGGAAGCACACAUCUUCCACUUCAGCUCCUUUUCAAGAUUCCAUUCUUCUCAGAGAGGCCUAAAUUGGAAGGCCAGGGUCUUCCUCUCGCUGGCCCCUGCCCUCUGGAGGCUGGGAACAUGUUGGAGCCAUGAAUGGAGCCAUGGGAUGAGAACAGAAAUGUCCAGAGUCACCCCCUGCUGUCUCUCCAGCCCCAACAGUCCCCUGUACUCAGCACUUCUUGUUUGUAUUUACAGAAACUAAUCAAACCCAAUCCAUCCGCACCGUGUUUCCUCAACACUCACUGAUGGCUAUUAAUCAGCAGGCCAGUGGUGCUGCUCCCCACUGUGUUAGCGUCUUGUUAAUGAUGGGGAGAAGACUGCCAAAUGACCAGCGUGGCUCCAGAUGGACAGAGAAAUAUGGGUCUUGCCCAGACCAAGGAGGCAAGGGCAUCACCACCAUCCGUCUGGCAUGGAACAGAGAUCCCUGGUGCUUGAUAACAAGAACGGGGCGGACUUCUCUCUGCAAAGAACAGUGUUGAAAGUUCUUCCACGUGCCCCCCACCUCCCUUCGUGCAGAUGAUCUGGGAAACUGAAAACAGGGUAAAAGGAGACCUCGGUGGGGAGGGAAGGUUACCUAGCUGUUCCUGCAUUAAAGGACCUAUGAGAUGGUCUAUAGCAGCGGCAGGAGGGAUUUAAGCUAGAUGUCCAGAAGUAUUUCCCGAUGAGAAGGCUGCUAGGCACUCUCCCAGGACAGGAAUGUGAUCUAUGACUCAUAGAUCUUCUACUCUAAGUCUCCAGCUCAACUUGCUCUAUGUUUAUAUACAUGCAUGCACAAGCUUGACUUUUCCAUCAGUACACACCAUUAAGGGAACCUGGUCUAGUAUUUAUUUGGUGAAACUUGGUGUCCCCUCCCCUUGGUGCUGGGUCAUGCUGCUGACCGGGCAUCGCCUGAAUUAGCUGGAUUAGCACACAUGUCAACAAGCCUUUGCUAUCCAGACAACGUGCCAAGCUGUAGGUAACAGGCUGGGGACGCCAAGUCCCAAAGGAAUUAUCGGGAUCAGUAAUAGCUUAGUGGAGCACACUCUAAAUGCCAAAGGUGUGGCUCAGCAGGAACCUAGCAACUCAAAGGGAGGUGUCCAAGAAGCCGAUCACGGAGGCUCCGAGUGAGGAGGGAGCUUGCAGACCCGGCUUGAGGUGCACUUCAUAGUUGUUUGGUUUCUAAUGGAGGAGUUUUGGGCAGGCCCAAGAGGAGGCAUUUUGGGGUCCCUGGAACUGCUCUCUUGUCCCCAGAAUCUGUCCUGAAAUGGGUACCCAGAGCCACAGGUUUGUUAGAACUUGUCACAUGGAGAACAUGUAGGGACAAGGUCUUGAGGAAGGGGCGUUCGCAGAGUCUCUUUUGUCCCCCAGAGCCUCUCACAGGCCAAGGACAGGGCUCCGGGGAUCCCUACCCCAGUGGAAAGCACGUUCAAGGAAGGUAUAAGAGUUCACCCAUCGGCCCUGAGAUGGCAUUUUAUCUCCCAAGAGCUGCAGGCUCCGCUGCCCAGGCCCUCCUAGGCCAGGACCUUCUGGACUGAACACAGGCCCCAGUCCUCCUCCCCUGCAGGCCCAGGCUUAAGGGUUUUACAUAGUGAGCAGUUCUCAGGGACCCAAACCUUGAGCCUCCCUGGAUUAAAUGAGGCUGAGUCCCUGAGUCUAGAAGUCACUGAGGGGCCUCCUUCCACCCUCUACCUCCAUGUGGGGCUGCGGAAAAACCAGCAGGAACAAACACGGCAAUUUAAUUUUUACGGUUUCCAGAUGGAAAGAAAGGAAAUUUGUUUUAAGGGCUGUGUGGCAUGAUGGUUAGGAACAAUAGGUGAAGGUUUGAUUGCUAGCUCAACCAUCUACUAGCCUGUGGCCUUUCACAAAAAAAAAAAAAAGAAAAAGAA